AAGAAAAUCUUUAAGACGCAGAAAAGUACAGGAAUCUGUAAUCAAUCUUAAAGCGUUACAGUACAAUUUAUCCUUUGAUCUUCUCUUUUCCUUCCUCUAAGAUUAUACAGUAACUCAACAUUGAAGCCCAGUAAUCAAUUUCCUCAUACGUUACAUAAACAAUAUCCCUCUCUAAUGUUCCCUUUAUAAACCCCACUAAAGGUUUCUUACCAUGUUUCAAACGCAUACUCUCUCCACGUACCUGCCAUUUAGUUUUUUUUUUGAUUCUUUUCAAUUUUAAUUUGAUUUUCCAACUUAAAAUUCUCAGUUGAUUGUUCUGUUGUAGAUUUCAAGUGUUGUAUCAAGAAAAGAGGUGCCAUUCAUCUGAGUCCAUACUCUUUCAUUUUUUUCAAAUGGGUUCCCAGACAUCAUCCCUUCCAAACGCCCCGCAAUCACCUAGAAAACUUCCUCCCACAUAGGCAAGUCCGAAGAAGGCACAAAAUUGAUGUCGCGUUCAAUGGAAUCAGCUAGAUUUCAUUGGGACCAACCAGGUAUCAUCCUGGACGUCUUCAUGCUCAAGACAAUGAAUAACGUGUUCGACAAAGUGUUUCAUCCAAAAGAUCUAUCAAGUUAGAUGCUUUUGAUUAUAGAACAACACCAUUUUUAGUGGUCUAUCAAGUGCUUCCGCAUUAUAAUAUUGUGCAGGCUCCCACGUCGUAUCAUCAUCCAGCAUGGAAAAUUGAAAUGCAACAAACCACCACCGGGUAUACUCCAAUAUUUUUAAUCCCUGAAACAUUGCAAUAAAAUAAUGCGGUGUUAUUGUACAUUUGCAUGUCCCUAUGGUCAUAAAAUUUGAUUGCCGAAAUGAUUUUUAAGUCAGCCUACAUAUUAAAAUAUAACUUUUGGUCUUACUGAUCUGCAAAUCUCGGAAUUCAGUGCUUAGACACGAAAUCAUGCAACACAUUUCAUAGCAAGAAUUUAAGGUUGAAUUACUAUUCUGCUAUUCAUUUUGGGUUUUUUUCUUCGAUCUUUUGGGCACAUAGAAAUAUGCGAGCCAUGGAAAAUAUUGUAUAUACAUUAUUCAAAAACCAAAUCAUUAAAGGUCAAAUGUGAAUUUAAACAUGUUGUUUUACCAGCUUUUGAGCAACAUUUAGCCAAUAGUUUGUGACCCUAACAUUUUACCAAAGAAGGUAACUCAUCUGGGGAGGUGAACUUCAAACCUUCAGAGAUAGAUCCAUGGCUCAACAAUUUUUGUAUGUUAGUUUGCUUCAUGGGUUUCAGGUCAAUUUUUUUAAUUUGUAUUGGAUUAUUGAUUAGGGGGAGCUGUUAUAGGGGUAUUAUGUACGUUAAUUGGCUUGUUGGGACCAUUAUUAGCUUACCUUAGUACCGUAAGCCGUGAAUGCAUAACUAUUGUGCUACGUAAUUUAAGGAGUGGAGAUAUUUUGUUGUGGUUGCACAUGUACAUGUUCGUUGGAAUGUUGAUCGCUUGCUCAUACUAAUGCUCCUCUUUUUCUUAUUUGAUUUGACUCAUCUUUAACAGAUGAUGGGCAACAUAUGUUGACAUAAGGUGUCACAUCAUACUUUCUUAAUCUCUCUACCAAUACUCUAUGAUAAAAAUGUGUAUGUUCCUGAUCAAAACUUUGCAUAGCCAGCAAUUGCUAUUACAGAAUAUAUCCAUUUAAUUUUGAAAAAUGCAAAGACAUCUAGAAUAUGAAAUGGAUGAUGCAACAUGAUUGUAGAGAUAGAUAAAGAGCUCAUUUUGAUGUCCAGUCAUUGAAAAAGAUCUUCCAGAACAAUGGCUAUUCGCAGACUCAUAGUUACUAGCAGAUUUGACAACAUUUAGAGUACUGGCGAUGGUGGCUCCAGGUGCGAGAAACUCGGCAGACUAUCUUUCAAGGGGAAUGGAAAUGGCUGCCUGUGGUUUGAGGUGAUAGAGAUGGCUGGCAUCCACGAAAUCGAUACUCAAAGUUAAGCAUCAAAUGGAUAAGACCAAUAUAAAUGGAUUAAUAUCUCUGGCACGACUGACAUUGCAAGGAUCUCCUACACUGUUGUGCCUGACAGACAUUAUCAAAAAGUGGAGAACAAAGGAGUGCUUGGUUAUUACAUUUUUAAUGCAUUUGGUACAGCAGCUAAUUUAAAAAACGAAAAUGUUGGUUUGGCUGUCACAAGUGAUUUUGAGAAAAUUUGGAUUUUUGUCCCAUGAAAAUUCAGUAACACCUACAGCUAAAUAAACUUAUUUUCAACA